UCCAGCUCCUAUUGGCUCAGUGGAAGUGUCAAUCAUCUGCUCCUCCAGUGGGGUGAUGAGGGUGUCCUGCUCCUCUGAGGGGGAUCAGCUCCUCUACAGCUGGACUCUGAAUGGAGGUCCACUGAUGGAUGGAAACAGCAGCAUUGAUCUGGAUGAGGGAACUGAUGGAGACAUCAGCUGCAGCGUGAAGAACCACGUCAGUCACGCACAGAAGACCACUAGAGUCCAACCCUGUGCUGUGUCUGUGGUGUUUGUGCUGGUCUGGUGUCUUCAGCUGAUGGUUCUGUUGGGUCUGUUAGGAGGUUUUCACAUCUACAUGAGACACACGUCAGGAAAGAAGCAGGAAGAUCAGAAAGUGAGGAUGAGAAGAUUUAGAGAAGGACCUGAACACACAGCAGAAGAUUCAUGAGAGCAGCAGCAGAUCAUCACAUCUAUGAGAAAUAACUUCAUAAUCUCAACUUCAAAGAUUCUCACAUAAAUCCAGGUUUCAGCUUUCGAUUAAAACCAGGAGACAGAAGAAGCUUUAAUAAUCGAUACUGAUCUUUACAUGUGUUGUGUUUAUUUCUUGUAGAGUAUGUUGAUGUAUUUCUGUGAGCAUUAUUUCUGUCAGGUCUGAAUCGGCUGCUCGUGAAAUCACCAUUUAAACUCAUUUAGAGGCA
rnacentral:lncRNA from 1 species